rnacentral:other from 1 species
UAUCUGCCCUGUUCGCGAACUCAAUCGUCUUUUAUAACCCUACAACCUUUUUUAUAGGGAGUUCGCCUCCGGCGCUGGGUAUGCAGGCCUCCCUCUGUGCUUGCACAGAGGACGUUGGAAGCACAAAGGCGUUGGGAGAACACCCACCUGCUUUACUGCAGGUUAUCAAAUUACGAUAUACGGCAGGGCGGGUAU